AUCCUUGGCAGCUUGCUGCCGGGGUGAGAGUGGCGAACGGGUGAGUAAUGCGUGACCGACCUGCCCCAUGCACCGGAAUAGCUCCUGGAAACGGGUGGUAAUGCCGGAUGUUCCACAUGAGCGCAUGCGAGUGUGGGAAAGGCUUUUGCGGCAUGGGAUGGGGUCGCGUCCUAUCAGCUUGUUGGUGGGGUAACGGCCUACCAAGGCGUUGACGGGUAGCCGGCCUGAGAGGGCGACCGGCCACAUUGGGACUGAGAUACGGCCCAGACUCCUACGGGAGGCAGCAGUGGGGAAUAUUGCACAAUGGGCGCAAGCCUGAUGCAGCGACGCCGCGUGCGGGAUGGAGGCCUUCGGGUUGUAAACCGCUUUUGUUCAAGGGCAAGGCACGGUUUCGGCCGUGUUGAGUGGAUUGUUCGAAUAAGCACCGGCUAACUACGUGCCAGCAGCCGCGGUAAUACGUAGGGUGCAAGCGUUAUCCGGAUUUAUUGGGCGUAAAGGGCUCGUAGGCGGUUCGUCGCGUCCGGUGUGAAAGUCCAUCGCUUAACGGUGGAUCCGCGCCGGGUACGGGCGGGCUUGAGUGCGGUAGGGGAGACUGGAAUUCCCGGUGUAACGGUGGAAUGUGUAGAUAUCGGGAAGAACACCAAUGGCGAAGGCAGGUCUCUGGGCCGUUACUGACGCUGAGGAGCGAAAGCGUGGGGAGCGAACAGGAUUAGAUACCCUGGUAGUCCACGCCGUAAACGGUGGAUGCUGGAUGUGGGGCCCUUUUUCCGGGUCCUGUGUCGGAGCUAACGCGUUAAGCAUCCCGCCUGGGGAGUACGGCCGCAAGGCUAAAACUCAAAGAAAUUGACGGGGGCCCGCACAA
rnacentral:rRNA from 1 species